UGUGUGCCCUGGUCUAAAGUAGUGCACUAUAUAGGGACUAGGGUGUCAGAGCUCUGUGUGCCCUGGUCUAAAGUAGUGCACUAUAUAGGGACUAGGGUGUCAGAGCUCUGUGUGCCCUGGUCUAAAGUAGUGCACUAUAUAGGGACUAGGGUGUCAGAGCUCUGUGUGCCCUGGUCUAAAGUAGUGCACUAUAUAGGGACUAGGGUGUCAGAGCUCUGUGUGCCCUGGUCUAAAGUAGUGCACUAUAUAGAGACUAGGGUGCCAUUUGGGAUACAGUAAUACAGAUAGAUGAUAUGGAUAAAUGAGGAAAUGUUUCUAGCAUCUAUUCCCAUGCUAUCAGUUGAUAUCAAUCUCAGGAUGUUGACCCUCAACACGGAGGUUAGAGGGUAGAGGGGAGGCAAGGCAGGGGGAAACUGUAUGGCAGAGGAUUGGUCCUACAGUACAUGUGCUGCUUAGAGAGAGAAGUGGAGAGGUGAAAGAGAGAGACAGAGAGACAACGAGAGAGAGAGAGAGAGAGAGAGAGAGAGAGAGAGAGA